GGUACAGUGGCUUAGUGGUUAGCGGUUAACUCCUCUAGGGUUGUUGGUUCAAAUCCUGCCUCUGCCC